GUCAUUUUAAGAGAGAUGUGAGGACAGAAGCCGAAGUCAGAGAGGAGAGAAGAGGCUGCUGGCUUUGAAGGUGGAGGAGAGGGCCACGUGCCAAGGAAUGCAGGAAGGAUUCCCCGGCACCACAGUGAGGGGAGAGGGUGAGGAAAAGGGCAGAAAUUCCAGAGGGGACCUCAGCAAUAAGGAGGAUCACGUGUGAACUGGAUGACCUUUCGGGGCCUGGCCAUCUCUCCAGACGAGGCCUGAGGAGCUUUGGUGAACCAGGCCCAGAUCCCCCCAUGCAAAAGGAAGAUACGGUGAGGCUGAAAAGUUAUGUGCGUGGAGUUUCCUGGACAGGCCCUGUGAGAAGCUCCCACCAGAGUUCCACAGGACGAUCGUGUUGGCAGCAGGGAACCGCUUAGAACAUUCUCUCCACCUGGGUUUUCUUGACCUAAGCAGAUGUGAGUGGCUUCUGUCUGACUCACCCUAACUCUGACCUAUUUGUGAAAUGCUUUCUCUACAAAAAGCUGGAGAUAAGUGCAGAGGAUUAUGCAUUUAUAAUCCCAGCAUAGACAGAAUCGUCUAACCCCCUCAUUUUGGCUGCUCCCUGCCCUACCUGUGGUUGGGGAAUGCUGACCUAAUGUUGGCCGAGUGUCUAAUGGCCUAACCUAUUGGCUCCAGCAGUAAUUGCCAGAACCUCUUUCCUCAUCUACCCCAUGGCCAUAGUGAUCUGUCCUUUACACCUCUCAGAGUUCACCUGUGCCACGCAACAUGUUGGGUCUUUGUUCCCCGACCAGGGAUGGAACCUGUGCCCCCUGCAGUAGAAACGUGGAGUCUUAAUCACUGGACCCCCAGGGAAGUCCCUGCUUUAAGGUUUUUUUUUUUCCCCUCUACCUCUGUCCUGGCCCUCCUCUUGCUACCUGCCUUUGCCUCUGGCAUCCUGGUCCUUUGAUGGGCUUUCCUGCCAAUAACUGCUCUGUAGAAUCUGGAGUUCAUACCAAAUAGGAACUUUGAGGUUUCUUUCCUUUGGAGAUUGCAAAGCCCACAAGGCCUGGUGUGGAGGAUGCUGCUAGCUCAGUGGGGCACCUGCGGCUUUCUCUGCACGCAGAGCAAGGUCGUUCUCACAGAAACCGGGAAGUUCUUCACCCGGAAGCUCAGUCUUCUGUGAUCCACGUGGUUCUGGAAUCUGAACGCUAAUGAUUAGCACAGGAACUUCUUCACAGCCUAGGCAAUCCGUGACUUGUGAAUCCACGCAGGAGCUUGUGCUAUCUCUUUUUCCAUUCAGUGGUCAGUCUUUCUGCCUGGCGGUUGUGGUCAGGUCACCUGGUGGCCCCUCGUGGCCAUCUCUGUUUGCAGAGGGCCAUUCUGCCAGGUUUGGGGGGCUGUGCUUUGUCUUGAGUCGAAGAGAUCUGGGUUUGAAUUCCUUGUUCUACCAAUUACCAGCGUUCUAAUUUGAAUAAGUUGCUUAAACUCUCUAAGCCUCCUUGUCUGUUAAUGGGAAGAAGAGCAGACCCACCUCAUUCGGUCGUAAGGAGGCCUAAGUCAAGAAUGCACUGAAGGCACAUGGCGUGAGCCUGGCCCAUGUUAAACGCACCAAAAGCGGUAGCUGUUAUUUUGUUAACCCACCCAGAAAGCUCAUCUUCAUUAAAUGAUGUAAUAUAAAAAUAAUGGUUCAAAUUUGUGUAAUUAACACUUUCACGUUUAUUAUGCCUAGCACAGGGCAAGCACUGAGCAUUAGCUAUUAUUAUUAAUACUAAUAUGGAGAGCAGCAGCUCUACCUGAACAGCUAUGAAGGGUGAGAUUAUCAUCCAAGCCCUUGACCAGGCCUCUUGAUCUGGACCCAAGCCCAUGGACCCCUUGAUGGUCUGUGGGUAGAGUUUGUGGGGUUUGUGACCUUAGAUAGGAAAAUAAUUAGACCUUUUAUUUUCACUAAUCUCUAAUUGAAAUUAAGAAUCUCCUUCAAUUAUGAAUGUUGGCAACAAAAUACACUAAUAGUAAAACACCUGUGACUUCGAUACCAACACAAGUCCACAUGAAAUAUUGGCUAUGCUUGAUACUACUUCAAAACUAGAUAUUAAAUCUGCUGUUAGAACUUGUUAUUUAAUGUGUUAAUAAAGAAGCACAUAUUUUGAUACAGUUACAUUUCAUUGUAAGUGUUUUUUUUUUAAUACUUUAUAUUUCAUUUUAUGCAAUUAAGAAACUUAUCCUAAGAAAAGUCAACAGGCUUCGCCAGCCUGACUGCUGAAGGAGUCAGGACAUGAAAAGGUUAAGAAUUUACAGGGUGUGGAGGCAGUCCCCCCUCAAGACCACCCUCACUUCUGAUGCCAAUUGCAAGUCCCGGGGUCCCCAGGACUACCCUCAGGUUUUUGUUUUUAUUUUCGUUUGUUUUUAAAGUGAAGUAUAGUUGAUUUAUAAUGUUUCUGGUAUACAGCAAAAUGAUUCAGUUAUAUAUUUAUACAUAUUCUUUUUCAGAUUCUUUUCCAUUAUAGGUUAUUACAAGACACUGAAUGUAGUUCCCUGUAGUAUACAGUAGGUCCUUGUUGUUUAUCUAUUUUAUAUGUAGUAGUGUGUAUCUGUUAAUCCCAAAUUCCAAAUUUAUCUCUUUCCUCACUUUCCCUUUUGGUAACCGUAAGUUUGUUUUCUAUGACUGUGCGUCUAUUUCUGUUUUGUAAAUAAGUUCAUUUGUAUCAUUACUUUAGAUUCCAUGUAUAAGUGAUAUCAUAUGAUAUUUGCUUUUCUCUCUCUGACUUACUUCACUUAGUAUGAUAAUCUCUAGGUCCAUCUAUGUUGCUGAGACCACUUUCAAUUCUGAUAAAUUACUAGAAGAACUUACAGAAUUCACUGAAAGCUACUAUACUUAUGGCUACAGUUUAUUACAGUGAAAGCAAUCAGCCAAGGGAAGAAACACCUGGAGCAGAAAGUUCCAGGAGAGGAGCUGCUGGCUGUCCUCUCCCAGUGGAGUCGUGGACAGCGCCAACUUUUCCUGGCAAUGAUGUGUGACAGUACGCAUGGGAUAUCGCCAACCAAAGAAGCUCACCUGAGCCUUGGUGUCCAGAAUUUUUGCUUAGGUGCAGUCAGGUAGCCAUAGUGGACCACCUGCCUGGUUGAUCUUUUAUCUCCAGCCCUCUGGAGGUUGAGCUGAUACCAUGUGGCCAAAGCCUCCACCAUAAAUCACGUUGUUAGACUAUCCAGUGUGGUCCAAGGCCCCAGGUAAACGCUUAUCAGGCAGGACAGUCUAAGAAUUUAGCAAUACCUUGCAGGAGCUGAGGACAAAGUCCAGACCUGUCUUGGGGAAGGUUAAUUCUUUACUACACAGGCUCCACUUUGGAAACUGCCUUGGAGCGGCCAGCUUGGAGGAGGGUGGAAGGAAAGGGUGCUGUUAAACCUCAGAAGCGAGGGCCCUGGUGGUGGGGCAAAGUGUGGACGGUCCUGGCCUCCUGCCUGCCCUGGAUUGGCCCCACGCCUGCUCCUGGGCUGUUCAGACAGAGUGAGUCCUGUGGCCAAGAAGAUCAGCAGGUAUUUUGCAGACUCAGGUUACCUGGUCAUGCCUGGGUGGUGCUAGGAGCUUAGCCAGCUUUGGAGGUGGCCUGUGCUGGAGUUCACUGGCAGAGUGGUUACCUGAGGUCACUGCCUGCGGAUGUGACCAGCUUUCAUGUGGGAAAGCACGAGUUUGCUGGAGCCUGGAGUCUUGUAGGCCCAACAUGUUUUGACUCAUCUAAAGCGAGCCCAGAGUCAUGACCUCAUCCUCAAGUUUGGUGUAAAUUAUAUGCAGUCAAUCUCUAUGUUAACACUGAAAAGUCACUCGUUCAGGACCCUAUUGCUAGUGUCUUCCUGGGUUAGGUCAUUUCUACCAGCCUGUGAGGGCUGAGGCCUCGCACCCUUUGCAGGAGCCUGUGUUCCCUGAAGGGGAGAAGGGCAGGGACCAACCAACACUGGCCCAAGAGGCAGGCACAGAAGGCUUUCUGGGGUGUGGCUAGGAUCCAGAGAGCUUUGUGUUUCCCUGAAGAGCACAUUUGUGUUCACAAGUGUACUUGUAUAUAAUUUGUGCUCUAGUUGCGACUAUUUUAUGGAGGUCUGUGUGGUUUUUUUUUUAAAGCUGCCUUUAAAAAGAAUCAUUUAAAAUGACCAUUCUCUCCUUUUCCUCAUCUGUGAUGCUGUCUGUAAUUAUUUGGAGCAAGCUCUUUCACAUAAUCACCUACGUGCCCUUUGGCCCUCAUCACCCAGCUGGACUGCAGCUCCGUGGGGCAAGGCCUGCUCUGUCCCAUGCAUCUCAGCACCAACAGCAGUGCCCAGCAUAGAAUGGGCACCUGACAGAUGUUUGUCUAAUGAAUAGCAGGAAUGAAUCCUAUGAGAUCACUCACUGUAUUCAUUUCCUGUAGCUCCUAUAACAAACUGCCAGAAACUAGGUGGCUUAAAACAACAGAAAUUUGUUCUCUGACAGUUCUGGCAGCCAUGAGCGCAAAGUCAGUAUCAAUGGGCUGAAAUCAAGGUGUCAGCAGGGCUAACACCCUGUGGAGGCUCUGAGGGAGACUCUGUUCCUUGUUUCCUCUAGCCUCUGGUGGCUGCAGCAUUCCUUGGCUUGUGGCCACAUCGCCCCAAUAUCUGCCCCUGUGGUCGCCUUCUCCUCUUCUGUGUGUGUCAGAUGUCCCUCCGCCUCCUCUUAUAUACAUGUGAUUGCAUUUGGGGCCCCCCAGGAAAUGCAGGAUAAUCUUCCCAUCUCAAGACCCUUAAUUACACCUGCAAAAUUCCCCUCCCUCCCUUUUUCUCUGCGUAAGGUAGCAUUCAGGAGCUCUAGGUUUAGGAAGUGGAAAUCUUUCCGGGGCCACUGUUCAGCCUACCGUACUCACAAAGGGGAUGUAACCCGCAGAAGGCUGGGCAGUCCCUCAUGCAGCAUCCUGGCGGGGGACACACAUGUUCCUGAGCACUGCUCGUUCAGGGGACGUGUCACGGGGACUUGGGUUCAUGGGGGAGCCCUCAUGCCCUUAUUUGGGGCCCGUAUUACUAUGAACACGCGAGAACCAGGUAUAACCACCUCCUUUCGCCCUUAGAGUCUCUGCUCUCAGCAGAUCCACACUCACCCUCCCCAGAGGAGGUUCCCGACCUGAGUCUCACGUGACUGUGGCACGUGUCAGGAAAAGCAGCCCUUCCCAGGACUCAUCCGCAGGAGGACCCUGGUCCUAGGGCUUCCCCUAGAACCCAUCUCUUCCUGAUCGUGUAGAUAAGUCAUCCUUCCCCCUGGCAGCAACCACAUCUCCACAGCCUGGUGGGUGGGGGAGGGUGGAAGCAGCAGGUAAGGGAGUGGUGAUAGUUUGGAAAGGUCAGAUGCCAGAUGAAGAAAAGUCAGAUAAGGAAGAAUCCGCCCCAGGCUGUCAGGCUAAAGCCUGCAGCAAGUUUUGCUUUCUGUGAUCCCUGGGACCUGUAGAUUCUGCGGCUACCCUCUGUCCCCAAACAAAUGAUGAAAAAGAAAGACUGUAAGAAAAUAGGGGCUGCUUGUCUGGGUUUGACAGGUUACCCAUGCUCACUCGCCCUCCACGUCACCCUCCUACUGGAUGCCCUGCCCCCAGUGGUUCCGAACAGCUUUUCAACCUGUUGUGUAGGCACCUGGGUGAUUGAGGUCUUUUAUUCUCUAGAUUUUCUCUAAAUUUGCACUAAUUGUGUUGUUGCUUUGGCCAGGCCUCCCAGAGUGAGUCCCCAGGAAAAGGUGAGACUAAAGCGGAGGGUAAUUCCCGGAUCUCUCUGCCUGGGUCUGUCCUAACGCCCAGCCAGGGAGGAGCUGGGUUGAGGGGUGGGGUGGGUGCACGUGCACAUGUUCCGUCUAGCAGGGCGGGCUUUCCUCCUCGGAUGGGCUGCCUUCUCUGGGAGCCUUGUCUCUGACGCAAAGUCUCCAUCCCUAUUUUUGUAGUUCCCUGUGAUCUGAUUCAUCCCCUGUGAGCACUAAGAGCCAUUGUGGGUUGCCUGGCAGAGUUCUUUUUUUUAGAGGAAAAAUUUUUUUAAAUAGUAUGGGGUUUUUUUUGUUUUUUAUUGAAGUAUAAUUAACAUGUAACAUUAUAUUCGUUUCAGGUGUACAACAUAAUGAUUUUAUAUUUGUGUAUAUCGCGAAUGAUCACCACAAUAAUUCACGUUAACAUCCAUCUCCAAACAUAGCUACAGAUUUUUUCUUGAAAUGAUAAUGUGUAAGAUCUUCUCUCUUAGCAACUUGCAAAUACACAAUACAGUAUUAUUAACUGUCGUCGCCGUGCGGUCACGACGGGGGACUGAGUAGAGUUCCUUGCUGCUGGCAGAGUUCUGAGUGGAGAAUCAGGUGGCCUUAGGUGUCCUUGUGCCCCGGAUAGCUGAAUUUUCACAGACAGGACAGCAUGUCUGGGCCUCCGUCUGCUGUGGGACAGGGUGAAACAGGUUGCUCAACAAGGAUCUUUCCAGUGCUGCUACUCUGAGCCUCUAUGGUGUUAGGAUUGGCUCAAGGACCCGUUCUGGAUCUCGAAGUUUAGGUGUGUUCUGUCCGUACGUGCAGCCCUUUUUAAAGUGCAGGUGGCCCAUGGCUCUGUAUCUGUGUGAACUUGUGGCCAUUGUGUUUUAUUUGUUCCAUGACCAGCAAAGGACUGGCUUAAGCCUUGCAUCUCAGAGGGAGGGUCCCAGGCUCCCUGGGCACACUCAAGUGGGGGGGGCCAGCAGCAGGGCUGAGGAAGGGAGUGAAGUUGGACCACUGCCUGCAACCUCCCCUUCGUUACCACUCUCUCUGGGUGGAUCGCACAUCCUUUUGCUGGGGAGAAGAGCCUGAAAGAAUAUGCCAGGAGGUAGCUGCUAAGAACAAAACAUCACAGAGGGGGUGGCUUAAACAUCGGAAAUGCAUUCCUGGGACUUCCCUGGUGCUGUAGUAGUUAAGAAUCCACCUGCCAAUGCAGGGAACAUGGGUUCGAGCCCUGGUCCAGGAAGAUCCCACAUGCCGAGGAGCAAGUAAGCCCGUGCGUCACAACUUUUGAGCCCAUGUGCCACAACUACUGAAGCCCAUGCACCUACAGCCUGUGCUUCGCAACAAGAGACGCCACCGGAAUGAGAAGCCCAUGCACCACAACGAAGAGUAGCCCCCGCUAGCUGCAACUAGAGAAAGCCUGUGCGCAGCAAUGAAGACCCAAUGCAGCAAAUAAAUAAAUAAAUAAAUAAAUAAAUUUAUUUAAAAAAAAAGAAAAGUGCAUUCCUCACAAUUCUGGAGUCUGAGAUCAGGUUGCCAGCAUGGUCUGUCGACGCUGGCUUGCAGACUGUCUCCUUCCUGCUGUGUCUUCGCAUGGUGGAGAGAGAGAUCUUCUCUCCUGUCUCUUUUAUAAGAGCACGAAUCCCAAGCCCUCAUGACCUCAUUUAAACCUAAUCUCAAAGGCCCCAUCUGCAAAAGCCAUCACACUGAGCAUUAGGUGUCCACAUGUGAAUUUUGAGGGGGACACAAACAGCACAGUUCUUGAGGGGCAUGGUGGCAGCGUCUCUCCUGCUGUCCACGCAGCCAGAUCCCCCGAGAUCCUCCCGGGUGCCACAUCCUGCAGUCAUAAGAGGAGGAGUCGAGUCAGUCCUGGAGCCUGCCCUCUAGGGACUCUUCCUGGUAGGAAAGACCCUUUAGGGAGCUCAUGCCUAGCAUGGUGCCUGGCACACAGAAGACGUCCAACAGACGUUUGGAUACACUAAACCACUCGUGCAAAUCACAGAUCUGGCAACAGGCAAAGUGACUCUCAAGGCCAGGACUCUCAGCCCAGUGCUCUUUCCUCGACGUCACCAUCUCCAUCUUCAUUCACUCAACUGCUGCUGAUUCUCUGAGAAAUCUCUUUCUUCAAUAUGGAAUGCUAGGUACUUCCCUGGUGGCACAGUGGUUAAGAAUCCACCUGCCAACGCAGGGGACACGGGUUUGAGCCCUGCUCCAGGAGGAUCCCACAUGCUGCAGAGCAACUAAGCCCAUGUGCCACAACUAUUGAGCCUAUGCUCUAGAAGCCAAGAGCCACAACUAUUGAGCCUGCACUCUAGAGGCCAAGAGUCACAACUACUGAGCGCAAGUGCCACAACUACUGAAGCCUGCCUGCCUAGAGCCUGUGCUCCUCAACAAGAGAAGCCACCACAAUGAGAAGCCCACGCACCCCAGUGAAGAGUAGCCCCUGCUCACCACAACUAGAGAAAGCCCGUGUGCAGCAACAAAAACCCAACACAGCCAAUAAAUACAUAAAUAAAUUUAUAAAAAAAAUGGAAUGCUAAAAUCAAACAAAAAAUGGAUAAAAAAAGAAUCAACCAGAUAUAUCUUUUAAGGUCAUGCUGCUCUGUCCUUGCCAUUCAACACUUCAACAAACGUUGAUGAAGACACUAUUGGCAGGCCCUGUGCCAGGUGCUAGAAACACAGAGAGAAGAGACACAGAACCAAACCUCAAGGAGCUCACGGUCUGGUUGUAGGGGUGUGUGGCGUGUGGAGUGGCCAGAUAAGCAAUAGGCAUUUGUGAGGUAUUGUGUACGUGUUGUGAGAAACACAUGGGAGCCUGGAGAGGGAAGGCUGAGGAAGGCCUUCUGAAGCAGCUGAGUCUUGAAGGUUGAGGAAGAGUUAAUAACGUGAGGACUGGCUGAGAGAAUGUUCCCAGCAAAGGAAACAGAAUAUGCAAAAGCGUGGAGGAAUGAGAGAGGGCAGAGCAGAGUGCAGAGCAGAGGUAGUUCCGGAACUCAAGCAGCUGCACAGGGCUGUGGUCUGGGGGACGGUGGGAGUGAGGCUUGAGCAGUAGCUGGGGCUGGUUGCAUCAGCCUCACAGCCACGCUGAGGAGGGUGGUCUUUGGCCCAAAGGGCCUGUGCGGUCCUGGCACGUGACUAGAUGCGUGUCUUAGAAACGCCAGCGGUGUGAACAUGAACUGGGCAGGGAAGGGACAAAGAAGGGAGGCUGUUUCAUUACUUCAGCUGAGAAAUGAUGUGGCUUUAUGGGAAGACACGGUGGACAUACAGAGGUGGAGAGAGAGUCUAGGCAUGUGAAGGAAGAAGGACCAGUAACACUCAGUGACUGACUUGGGGGUGCAGGCGAGACACCUGUUUGGAUUGGGUGGCCACUCACGCAGAUGAAGGUUACAGGACGAGGAGCAGGUGAGGCCUGGGAGAUGCAGAGUCUGACGGUGGCAGCAUCGAGAUAUGAGUCAGGCGAUCAGAUGUGCAGGAGGUAGAGAAGAUUUAGGAGUUACCAAUGUGCAAGUGCUGGUUAAAGACAGGAGUGUGCUCAAGCCUGGUGAACGCAGAACGAUGCACCUGCUGUGUUGUCAGACACUUUUAUUCAGUAAAAAGAAAACAAAAAAAGCAGCUUAUAGACAGCCUAGUGGGGACCUGGAACCUUCAUACUUACUCAUUCAGCCCAUCUGGCCUCUGUGGAAGGACCUGUUUAAUAAUACCUGGCCUGGCUGGAGAAAGGAUUUAAGUCUGUAGGCAUCAUUAUUAGUCUGAUUUCACAGUGAGGUUCACAGUGAAAUGAGCAGCUCAAGGUCAGGCUGCACAGAAGGUGGCAGAGGGGGAUUUGGAGCAGGUCUUCUGUGGCCUGGUCUUCACCACAACUGCCUUUCAUGAUGCAGGUGACCUUUGCGCAGGAGAUGCUGAGACGGGGUGGAACAUGGUGGGCACAGGGGAAGCGUGAGUCAGGGGGGUGGGGACAGCCUGACCAUGAGCUGGACCCAUGCUCUUACACUGGGUUCUGCGUCUGGUACACCCUGAGGUAGGGGGUUCUACCCCGUGAUCGCCUGGUGACAUUUCGAGAGCGCUUGGCAUUCAUUCUACCAUCCUUGUCGGAGUGGGAGGCUCUCUGCCUCUCUCGGGCCUCCGCAUCCCCUGUGGUUUGACUGUUGGAUGGGAGGCCUGAAAUGAGCCCAAACUGGCACCAGGGCACAUCCGUCCCUAGUGGGAGGGGAGGUUCACCAGUGUUAGGUUUUGAAAGGCGUGAACAAGGGGGUGGGAGGUGGGGAACGAAGAGGGGAGAGGACACUUAAUUACUGACAUUUAUUUAGUAUAAGCCUAAUGUAGUGGGUUGAAUGCCCACUCCUCCCUACCCCUCAAAAAAAAGUCCAAGGCCCAACCCCUGGUUCCUGUGAAUGUGACCUUAUUUGGAAAAGGAGUCUUUCCAGAUGUAGUUAAGAAGCUUGAGAUGAGGUCAUCCUGGAUUUGGGGUGGGUACUAAAGGCAGUGACUGGUGUCCUUAUGAAAGAAAGGAGAGGGAGAUCUGAGCACAGGGAGGAAGGCAGCGUGAGGCUGGGAGCAGAGAUUGGAGUGAUGCCACAGGCCAUGAGAUACCUGGGCUGCCGGAAGCUGGAAGAGGCAAGAAAGGAAUCUCCCUGAGAGCUUUCGGAGAGAGUACAGUCCCACCAACAUCUUGAUUUUGACCCAGUGAGACUAAGUUCAGACUUCUGACCUCCAGAACUGUGAGAAUAAAUUUCUGUUGUUGUGAGCCACUGAGUUUGUGGUCAUUUGUUGUGGUAGUCCCAGGAAACUUAUGCAGUGGGCAAACACUCAGCGGGCAAGUACCUCCUUUGCCCCUGGCAGAUAUUAAUAAUCAUUCUCAGCAUUCUU